rnacentral:rRNA from 1 species
GACGAACGCUGGCGGCGUGCUUAACACAUGCAAGUCGAACGGAAAGGCCCUGCUUUUGUGGGGUGCUCGAGUGGCGAACGGGUGAGUAACACGUGAGUAACCUGCCCUUGACUUUGGGAUAACUUCAGGAAACUGGGGCUAAUACCGGAUAGGAGCUCCUGCUGCAUGGUGGGGGUUGGAAAGUUUCGGCGGUUGGGGAUGGACUCGCGGCUUAUCAGCUUGUUGGUGGGGUAGUGGCUUACCAAGGCUUUGACGGGUAGCCGGCCUGAGAGGGUGACCGGCAACAUGGGGAAGAAGAGAAGGCCGAGCCUCCGCGGGGAGGAAGGAGGGGGAAUUGUUGCAGAAGGGGCGGAGGCGUGAGGCGGCAACGCCGGGGGGGGAAGGACGGCUGUGGGUUGGAAACCCAUUUCCGCCGGUGAAGAACGGGGAGGGAGGGUAAUGGAUAAAGAAGCACCGGCAAACUACGUC